UGAUAGAUAAAGCCUACGCUAC
rnacentral:siRNA from 1 species